rnacentral:lncRNA from 1 species
UUUUUUUUUUUGUCAUCUGAUUUUUAUUAAAACUUUAAGAUAGGAUACAAGGUGAAAUACUUAAGCCGGCGGAAAACAAAAAUAUCCCCGGAGUCUAAAGCCCAAAAAAGGGAAGUUAAGCCGGCGGACAAAGGAAAAGUCCCCAGAGACAAAGUCGGAGAAAAAAGAGAAUUCCCUCAAAUCUAAGUCUACGCUAAAACAACAUAAACUUUUAAAGCCGAAAUCGAAAGAGAACGAAACCAAAAACUAAGAAAAGAGGCAAACUAAAAAUAAACAAGAAGAUAAACACUAAGUCAAAAUAACCAAAUCGAUCUUCUUCUUCUGAAGUUUCUGCGAAUGAGCUAUAUCAAUGCUGCCCAAGGCCGCUGCCCAAGGCCAACCAUUAAUCACAACUGCUUCCUCCUAUCACAAUGAGAGAAGAUCUCUCGAAACCAAGUAACAAUGACUUCAUAAUCUGACAAGUAAAGGUCCAAAUAGAUCCUCAUUAAACACUUCCAGAUGCGGCAGCGACGAGGGUGCGUCAAGGAACGCCUUGAUAGAAGUCAUAAAGAUGCAAUCCGACAUCCUCCAGAUUCGGAAACGCAGAGACAAGGAGCGAAACAUAACCACCUCGAUGAGCUUCGAAAUCAAGAACAAAAACGACACUCAUCUACAACGGAUAUCAUCACCAGAAACUUCCACCUAAGAGAAGAAAGAUCUGAAGCCAAACGACACUAGCAUAAACUUCACACAACAAAGGCCUCAUCUUAGAAAGGAGACGAACCAAACGAGCAACUAUUAGCUAAACCAGGCAUUAAGGGUGAGCGGAGAGGCUAAGGCAAGAUGGAAGCUAACUACAGAGCUCACACAAGCCAAGCACGCGACAACAAAACACCAUGAAGCACAAGAGCGAGUAACAGAUCUGGAUUAGGGGAAGGCGAAAAACAAUGGCUUUAUUACAUACCCGUCACCGUCGAUCUCAGAUCCGGCUCCAUCAUCUUCGCAAGAGCCCUGAACCACAAAUCUGAAACACUCAAACCGCUUCCGACAAACACCCAAAAUCACAAACCGAUCAAACUAAAUCGAAACCCCAAUCGAAGGCCACAAGAUUCUUAAACUUAACACAAAACUAAAACCAAGAAAGGAAAGAACAAAAGGAGGACCGAAGCCGGUGCUAGAGGAGCCACCGUACUCCGGUCACCGAUCUGGGCAAACUUGUAAACUUGAGUGAGCGGCGGCUAGGUCUAGUCCCAAAAAAAAAAAACGAAUCUUUUACAUAAUUGUUUAAAGAUAUGAAAUUUUUGGUGUUGUACUUUAUAAAAAA